rnacentral:rRNA from 1 species
GUACACUCCUGCGGGAGGCAGCAGUGGGGAAUUUUGGACAAUGGGCGAAAGCCUGAUCCAGCAAUGCCGCGUGAGUGAAGAAGGCCUUCGGGUUGUAAAGCUCUUUUGUCAGGGAAGAAACGGUGAAAGCUAAUAUCUUUUGCUAAUGACGGUACCUGAAGAAUAAGCACCGGCUAACUACGUGCCAGCAGCCGCGGUAAUACGUAGGGUGCAAGCGUUAAUCGGAAUUACUGGGCGUAAAGCGUGCGCAGGCGGUUUUGUAAGUCUGAUGUGAAAUCCCCGGGCUCAACCUGGGAAUUGCAUUGGAGACUGCAAGGCUAGAAUCUGGCAGAGGGGGGUAGAAUUCCACGUGUAGCAGUGAAAUGCGUAGAUAUGUGGAGGAACACCGAUGGCGAAGGCAGCCCCCUGGGUCAAGAUUGACGCUCAUGCACGAAAGCGUGGGGAGCAAACAGGAUUAGAAACCCUAGUAGUCCCAU